UCAGCGUUGACGCUUAAGCGUCUGACAGUGGCUCUCUUCACAAAGCUGUAAUGAAGCACAUGCACACCAUUAUUUGUACAAACAUUACUAACUAAAUACUUAUCAAACUGUUCAUUACAAAAUUGUUCUAACUUAAUUAUUUGAUUUGUAGAUCUUUGAUGAUUCAUCUCCAAUAGAAGCUCCAGACAUUGAAGACAUUAGAACUAAGUGGGCUUCUUUUAUUUUAAGUGUUAGUAAAUUGUAGAAACUUGACUACAAUGUAGUGUAGGUU
rnacentral:lncRNA from 1 species